ensembl:snRNA U2 U2 spliceosomal RNA
GUCGUUUCUCGGCCUUUUGGCUAAGAUCAAGUGUAGAAUCUGUUCUUAUCAGCUUAAUAUCUGAUACGUCCCCCAGCGGGGUCAGUGGUGGCCUAGCGGUU